rnacentral:tRNA from 1 species
AGGGGUAUAGCUCAGUGGUAGAGCAUGCACUUAGGUCCUGAGUUCAACUCCUAGUUCCUCCA